AGCUUUGCACAGUGGCAGUAUUGUAGCCAAUGAGGUUUAUCCAAGGCGCGAUUAUUGCUAAUUGAAAACAACCCUGAGAUC
rnacentral:snRNA from 1 species